ACUCCUACGGGAGGCAGCAGUGGGGAAUAUUGCACAAUGGGGAAACCCUGAUGCAGCCAUGCCGCGUGUGUGAAGAAGGCCUUCGGUUGUAAGACACUUCAGUAGGAGGAAGGUAGUGUAGUUAACACCUGCACUAUUUGUACGUUACCUACAGAAGAAGCACCGGCUAACUCCGUGCCAGCAGCCGCGGUAAUACGGAGGGUGCGAGCGUUAAUCGGAAUUACUGGGCGUAAAGCGCAUGCAGGCGGCCUGUUAAGUCAGAUGUGAAAGCCCGGGGGCUUAACCUCGGAAUUGCAUUUGAAACUGGCAGGCUAGAGUCUUGUAGAGGGGGUAGAAUUUCAGGUGUAGCGGUGAAAUGCGUAGAGAUCUGAAGGAAUACCAGU
rnacentral:rRNA from 1 species